UCUAAAUGAUAUGAUUCGAUUGGUUGGAACCACGGAAACAAAUGAACCAUAUAAUAUCUAUAAAGUAUAAAAAGAAACAUUAUUUAAAUAUUGGCAGGAGUUGUUGUGUUUGUCAUCGAUGUGCACAAGACGAAUGUGGGGAAGAUAUAGCUUUUUCACCGUUCCCAAAGCAAUUGAUCUGUACAAUAAAUGGAGAGAUGCAAUUGCUCUUACUGGGAUAGUUUUAAAAAAGACUCAAUAUAUUUGUCAAAAACAUUUCAACCCUGAUCAAAUACAGGAUCAAGUCACUAUCCGUGAUCAAUCUGGGAAGGUGUUGUUCCAAAAGUUUGCACAUACUGUGAUGUCUGUUGAUUGCAAUACCAUCCAACAAUGAGAAGAUAUUGCCCAAAUCAAUAAGUCAGCAGUGUGCAACGGAGGACCCUCUAGCCAUGCAGUACAGAAACGUAUAGCCAAGAUGUGCCUAUAAGGACAUGAGUAACAGAUGGCGACAGAACUCAUGUACAUUGACAAUUGGAACUGGUUCAACUUGUAAAUCGUGUGCAUCUCUUGAUAGUAUUUUGCGGAGGCAUUCGGCUAGCAAAGAAAGUUUUGAAAAGACAUGUUCAAGCUCAGGCUUUCAAAAAAAGUAGACGAAGGUUGUGUGGCAUAUCACAAGAAGUAAACAAAUUGCAUGACAAAUUAGCUCAUGUUGAGAAGAGUACAUUUGAAGAAAACUUGGGAAAAGUUGCAUCUUCCUGACGCUCAGAGCAACAACAUAUUACCCUUAUCAUCUCGAACAACUAUUCAUAAGCACCUCGGUUCCAUCUACCAGCAAUAGCUCAGCAUGAAAUUCUUCUGACUGAUGAAAUGAAAGUACAGGAAAGCAUUUCAAUCAAUGUAAAAUCUAUGACAUUUGAUGGACUCUGAAAUGGACAAAAAGAAGGUCAAGAAAGCGGCAUUUCAAAUGACUUGACAGAUUAUGCCUUAGUUUUUAUGUUUUCAUCCUUGGGGGGGGGGGGAGUUUCACCAUUCAAUAGCCACAUUCCCUUGUAAAGGUUCUACAUCUCGGAGAAUACUUGCAUAGUUUGCCUUGAAAGCAAUUACAGAACUAGAAAAAGCAGGAGAAUAUGCAGAUAGUAUCAUUUGCGACGGUGCGACAACUAAUCGGAAGAUGUGGACAGAGUUUGGUGUUCAAGGAAACAUAGAUAAUGCUUGCCAUUUCUUUGAAAAUCCAAUGGAUGAACCUAGAAAAAUCUACAUAUUCUCGAAUACACCACAUUUGAUAAAAUGUGUGCGAAAUAGAUUACAGAUUAAUAAGAUUUUGAAGAUGGAUGGUAAUUUCAUUGAAUGGCUGUAUAAAAACUUAUAUUACGAAAAUUGUAAGAACCGAGCCAAUCUCGGAGUGUGCCGAAAAGUAACUC